GGAAGCGGACCAACCCUAUCCCCCCUUUAUCCUCUUUCUCCACACACGAACCCAACCAGCACCCCCGCACGCGCUUCCCUUCCGCCGCCGCCUCUCCGCCUCCGGCAAAUGCCACCUGUCGACGUCCAGGGCACCUUCUCGCGCCGCGCCUCACCUUGCUCCAAGCCAGCCGCGCCGCCCAUGCUCUAUUGGCCGACGCAGUCUACCCCCGCCAGAGCCGCGCUCCGCCAUCCGUAUCGCUCCACUACAGUGGAGACUGCGAGCGCCUCGUUCUGGCCAGCAGAGCAGCUCCGGCGACGGCGGGUUCUCAUCUUGCUGGGCCUCCUCGCAAAUCCAUGAGACUUCACCCUCCGGCCGACAGCGCGCCAUCCCCAUCUUCCCCCCUCGACGAGAGGCAUUCCAUGCUCCGAUCGACCGACGCCUACUGAUUCCCACACCAUGUCUGUUCCCUCUGCCUCCUCUCUUAAUUUCAAUCGACAGGCUCACACACAGCAAUGGGCACAUUGAUUAUUUCCAAUCUGAUUGGAUCUUAUUCUUAGACCAAACAAUGGCGCUGCUGGUUGUUCUUUUCCAAGGCGGCUUGUUAAUUCCUACAAUAAUUAGCAUAUAUAAAGCGGUGAUACUCGGUCUAACCAAGCGAUGUGGGACUAUUAUAGAAACAAAACAUCCAGACCUCGCUGCCUUUGGAUUGGACGGGACGGACUGCGGCGGUCCAUUGAUAUGGAUCAGGCCCUACAACCCAGCUAUCUGGCCCGGCAGGAUCAACAGUUCACGGGAGAAGGGGAUCGAGCGGAGGCCUGGGCAAAUAAAAUCACGAACCGGUACUAUGGUAACAUGUGUUAUGUGUAUUAUGCGAAUUGGUGGGAGGGCAAAACGGUCCAAAAAAAAGCGUUGACGAAA